UGGAAACAACAAUAGAUGCAAAGAACACAGUAACACUUCGACAGAGUAAAUUCUCAGCCACCCUGCAAACUACUCUCAUGCAGCCACAAAUGCCAGCCAGCAAUUGUAGUGAAGGGAGCCUUAAGGAAGCUCAGAAAUAAAUACUCCCAGGGAAUCCUAUAGCACCAUGCUGCAGAAGAAGGAAGACACCUCUUUAAGCUUUGAAUAGCAAAUUAAAGAAGACCUCUUUAAGCUGUGAAUAGCAAAUUAAACAAAAAUAUUAAGGCAAUUAAUUCUACUAUGCUUAUACUGGACUGCUAGCUUGCUUAAUUAUGCCACUCGUAAAGGUGGAAUAAUUAAUAGUCCUGCUCCAUAUGCAUCAUCAUGCAGAUUACUGAUGCCAGGGUAACAAGCCAUCUGGCAAUGGGAGAAGUAGCAGAUGUGUUCUGAUCAUGACAAGGUUUUUGAUGCUCUCACAGAUGAUGAAAGCGAAGAUCUCAGCUGGAGAUUUUUGGGCAAUGCGUUUCUUCCGUCUCAAACUGUGAAUGCAGUAGAGUGCCCAGUGAUGGAUCCAAUUUCUGGAAAGUUGUUCUGGAGAAAAGAUAGAAGGAAUUGCAGGGCUUAUCCUACUAAAGAAAAGGCUGAGAUGGAACAUGGUAUAUCUGUUUGUACACAUGGGAGACCUGAUGUGCUUUUAAAAUUGGGAGGACACUUAAAAGAUGAGCAAACAUCUUAGUGCUGCGUCCUACCACAGCAAUAGCUGUUGGAUGAAGGCUGACUGAUCUAUGGAAACAAUCCAUCUUAAGAAGUCCUUAACCAAAUUCCUGGGCAUAUUUCUAGAAACAGAGUGAAACAGACUGCAGAGAAACAGGUAAAUAAAAUGAUCUAGGAUCAAAAGAAAAUAAGCAAACAAAAAGAAAAGCAGAGAUUUGAACCAAGAGUGCUAAAUUGCCUACCUCUGCUAGAGCAGAGGGUAAGGAGAGAAACCAUUUUGCUGUCCCGUGCUGUGGCAACUACAUCAGUACCAACAUUCUGAACAACAUCAGAAGAUGUCCUGCAAACAUCUUUUGACAUCACUCACAAUAUGAAAUAAAGGUACAACUAUGUUACAGCUGCACAAGGAAGAGGGUCAUACAUAACCAGUCUCCACACAAUAAAAAAGUUUAUCCUAUAUAUACUUGUUGUCAUCUGUUACACCACGGAGAACCAAUACCUUCCAGUUUUGAUCCUCUGAUUUCCCUUUAAAGAGAAAGAAAAGCUAAUCACAUUUCAUUACAAGACUCAGAUAGUAAUAUUGGUCUGGUUCUAUAAAACAGCACUAUUUCCUUAAACAUAGAAAAACAAUCUUGAUUUAAAAAAAAUCCUUAAAAAGAAAACUAAAGAAAAUACUUCUACUGGAUCUUAAAUGGCUAAGGUAGAAUAAAAAAUUUUCUCUGUUAAUAGCAGAUGACAACUUCCAGCUAUUAUAAUGAAAGCAGCCCCAGAUGUGGAAAACAAAUUUCCCUGAAACAAGACAAUUUCCUUGCCCACAAACAUCUGUCUACUCUACCCAAAGGACUACUUGCUAGAGUGCCUCUGUUCCAGUCCCAAGAGCCAGCCAUCAAGUACGUGCAUCAAGUAUAAUAAGGAAUGGUGAUUAAAAUUUCCACUAUUGAGAGUGGAGCCAGCAAAAGGAAUGAUUACAGGGAUUCUACUAUGAGAAAAGUAGGUACUUCGAUAAGAACUAUGGUGGCUGAUAAAACCACCACAUUUUGCCUCAAACAUUUUGACAGCAUGCACAUAUGCAGAAGAUGCAUACUCAUUUCCC